CAUCGAUCUCAGAGCCUGUACAAGCCAGGUGGACUUGCCCUCAUCACCCUCCAGCCUGAGGAAGAUAUGAGCCUUCCUCAUAUCUUCUAUGCUUCUCUGUGUCAGCACCGCCCUCCACUGGCCGGGUCCCAUUAACAGGAUCUUGCUGGACGCUUCCCACCAUGCUUUGCGUACUCAGGCCUGCCUCAGGAAGGAUCUGGGCUAUCCGUAAAACAGCAGGAAACAUUCUUCUCACUGUCACCCCACUUUAUCCAAACCAUAAAGGGGGUGCCCAGGCAGAGUCUUCAGACCGAUGCUCUCAAGGCACCUCUGCCUCCAGCAGUGAGUAUCCAGUUGCAGACCUGAAGGCCAGAGGCACCCUAGGAUAUGGUGACAGAGUGGAUGUGCAUCCUCAUGUGGAAGAAAGUUCUUGUUCUAUACAGCUCCCAAGUCCUCCAACCCUACCCCACGGAAACCUGUUCCUUCAGGAAACCCACACACAGUAGGCCAGCAACAGGAGUCUCCAUGACUACUCCAACCUAACCCACCUCAUUUCCUCACAUGAAAACGAAAGGCAGGGCUGAGAGCCCUGAUCUGCGGAGGCUUGUGUUCAGGCUCGUCCGGAUGGAAUAUUAACCACACCCACUAGCACAAUAUACCAG
rnacentral:lncRNA from 1 species